GUGUCAAAACAAAACAAGCGUCACAUGAUAGGUGACGUCAAAAGAUAGUUGCUAAGCUGUUUGCAUUGAAGGUGAAGGAAGGUUUGUGAUGCGAGGUUGCAUAUCGUUGGAAAGUUCUUGUACGAACGAGUCUCGUGUUGAAUUUUGAGAAAUUACUGUAUAUUCCAGCUGGUAUCAAAAAGAUCAAACGCAUAACUAAGUUGAACAAAAGAUGUCUUCUCCAAGCGCUGGAAAGCGACGAAUGGAUACGGAUGUUAUUAAACUCAUAGAAAGCAAACAUGAAGUCACAAUUUUAGGUGGAUUAAAUGAAUUUUGUGUCAAGUUCUAUGGCCCAAAAGGAACACCAUAUGAAGGGGGUGUAUGGAAAGUAAGAGUUGAUUUGCCAGAGAAGUAUCCAUUCAAGUCUCCAUCAAUUGGAUUCAUGAACAAAAUAUAUCAUCCCAAUAUUGAUGAAGUGUCUGGAACUGUGUGUUUGGAUGUCAUAAAUCAAGCUUGGACUGCAUUAUAUGAUUUGUCAAAUAUUUUUGAAUCCUUCCUUCCUCAGUUACUAACCUAUCCUAACCCGAUUGAUCCUUUAAAUGGCGAUGCUGCUGCAAUGUAUUUACAUAAGCCAGAAGAGUACAAGAAAAAAGUUCAAGAGUAUGUCAAAAAGUACGCAACUGAAGAAGCCCUCAGAGAACAGGAGGAAGAUCAGUCGAGCAGUGAAAGCUCUAUGAGCGACUUUUCGGAUGACGAAACACAAGAUAUGGAACUAUAACAAAGCUAGUAUAGGGGAAUUGGGGAUUAAAUAGGGGGGGAGGGAUAAAACAAGGGACUACAACAAUGAGGGAUUGGGGGGAUGGGGGGAAAACAUUUGCAGAGUUAAUCAUGUGUAAAUUUUUUCAUGUUAGAUAUUGACAGAUGCUGCUUUAUAAUGUUUGCAGCUUAUUCUUUUUAGCAGUGUUCCCUAAAAAAAUAGCUUAAUUUCCUUGUAAAUAACAAUAGUUUACUGUGGCAUUCAAUAAUAUUUCAUUUUUGGUGACUUCAUAGUUUAUAAAGAAUUUAAUAAAACUGCGCAUUUAUAGUCAUGAGGACACACAUAUUUUUUAUGUAACUUGGGUUAUUUUGUUCUAAGAAUGAAAAUGGUUUUAUUUAUUUGUUUUAAUUAGCACUUUUUAAAUAUCGAGUGUAUUUGUAAUUUGUGAUUUAUCCCCUUUCAUGUUAACAAAACUACGCUUUUCAUGCUGCAAUGACAUUCUUUUGUUCUAACUUAUUUUUUUGUUGCAUAUUUUUCAUUUUUUCAGUUAAAUCUGUCAAAUCAGAUAAGACAGUAAUUAAAUGUUAUUUUAGAUUUUUAUGAAGUGGAUGUUUUUAAAAUUUUAUGUUCGUAUAUAUAUAUUAUCCCCACUAGUAUAUAAAUCUAUAUCUUGUGUUAUGUGCCGAAAUUCGAUGUUGCAUUGUGAUACAAAUUUGAGUAUGAUUUAAUCAAUUUUAGCUUUCUUUUUUUUAUUUGGAGAUAUUGAUACUGUGAAAGCUUUGUAUUGUAUAAAGAUAUGCUUAUAGUUAAAUGUGUGUUAAAAAUCUGUUGUAAUUUUGAUAGGACUGUUAGGCUAUUGAAGAAAAGUAUUAGUAUAUUUCUUCCUGAUUAAUAAUUCGAAUAGCUGACUCAUAUUGUUAAACAGUUUUUUCAUCAAAUGCAAUACAUUUAAUAUUUCUGAAUAAAAUUUGUUUCUAAAAAGUUGUGUGAUUUGAAUCAUUUUACCUUUUUGAAUAAGAUGUGUAUUUAAACAGUGAAUGCUAUAUUGUAUGUUUAGCUAUUUAUUUCUACUAAACUAGCUUAAAUUUCAAUUUAUUUUUUGUGAUUAUCAUCAAAUAAUCAUUAAAUUAGUUUCUUAUGUGAUCUGUUCUUAGAUUGUUAGUUCAAAGUAUGUAUUUAAAUUUAAGAGUGGCUUAGUCAGAAUAAUUUGGUAAAUAACACUGAAGUUAAAUACUUUUCUUAAUGUGUCCACAAAACUUUUUUCAUUUUAUUUUUCAAACUGGACAUAUGGAUUUCAUUGCUUUCAUUGCACAUGCCAUUGCUUUCAUCCUCUUUGCUAAAUCUUGCAGUUUGGUUUCGAUAAAUAUGUUAGCUUUUAACCCACGUCAAAGUACUAUGACUUGACCUCAACCCAUUUAUAGGAUGAGUAUAACUACACACAUAUAAACUUGAAUGCUGUAGGGAAGAUAAAGUCUACUGGCCCAGUUAUCUGUAUAUGGACGCUAGCUACUUGUCCAUUAUAUUGGUUUUUAUUCAUUUAAUUUCUGACCAAAAAAAUAUUUAAUAUUUUUUUUUGUUUUUCUUAGCUGCGGUAUUGGUCCAAUCAAUUUUUUUUAGUCCAAGUCUAGUUUUGAAUUUUAAAUUUAUUUCAGUAAUUGGCCCUGAUGGGGUUUUUCAACUUCAAAAAGCCUGUAUACUCUUGAGACUGCCAACAAUGGUUGAGAUUGUAUUUUACUUGAUAAUAUUUAAUUGUUAAAUUAACUCAACUGAGUGGAUAAAAAAACUAGCUGAAAUGUAAAUUGAUGCUUUGCAUUGCUGUACAUUUAACUCAAACAUCAGAAUAAGAAUAAAAUAUUAUGUAUAUGCUGAAUUGUACAAUUCUUAACUAACUCAAAUGCAUUGCUGUACAUUUAACUCAAACAUCAGAAUAAGAAUGAAAUAUUAUGUAUAUGCUGAAUUGUACAAUUCUUAACUAAUUCAAAUUUUUUGACAUUUUUUUUCUUCUUAGCUUCAAAACUCUGGUCUUUGAAGAUUAAACCAAUUGCAUUUUUAAGAGGUAAGCACUAAGUAAACAUAAGAUAAAAUUUUCAAAAAAGCAUCCUGUAGAAUGCAAUAGGGUUCUCCGGAGGAUAUGGCAAAUGUAACAAAAAGUUAGUUUACAUUUUAUUAUUAUUUUUUUAAUUAUUAUUCCAACUUUAUGAAAUUUUACUAUAUACAAAAAUCAGGACACAGAAUUUUUGCACCAGCUUGCUAUUGGUGACCCAUAUAUUUAGGGCUAGUGAGUAAGGUACACAAUUUGGCAAAUUUUUGAGUUGCAGAGUUAGAGACUAGGGUUGCAAUUGCCAGAUGGUAUUUCGAUUAUUUAAACUUUCUGAAGUUUUUCUUAUUUUAUUGAGUUUUAAUAAUGUGUGAAUGACACAGUCCUUUGGGGAAUCUUAGUUUUAAUUUAUAUUUUUAUUAUUUUGUCAUAAAUGUGUCAUCAUUUUUCAGUUUUUGCAUUCUUUUAUAGUUUUAGACGCAAAAAUUUUUUUUGUGCUUCAUCUGUUAGUGUUAUAAUAGUGGCAGGCAAAAAUUUUUUUCUGGUUAAUACUUUUAGAAAUGAAAUUUCAUGUCAUGUACUAAAUAUUUAUUUUUAUGAAUCAGUACUCUGUUUAUUUCUGUAAAAUUAAUAAAUGCAUGUUUUUCUAAAAAUUAUAAAAAAUGAACUUUGCCUUUUUUGAAUUUAAGCUCUUCCAGUUGCUUCUUCUAUUUAGCAUCAAUUAAUAGACUAGUUGCUAGAAUCAUUGAGAUACUUUUAUAUUGAAAUUAAUCACAUUAAUAUCUAUUACAUUAAUGAAAAUAUUAUUGAAAUCUAUUAUAUGCCAACUUAAAUUUCUCAUCUAAUUCUUGAAUAAACUAUUCAAAUUGAAAUUAAAGAAAGUUAGCUUUUGUAAUUUAAGUGCUUGCAGCUACAUAUAAUUGCCUUUUAUUGAAGGGAAAUAAGAUUGGUGGUUGUUCAAACAUUUAAAAUAAUGAACUAUGUUAAUCUCAAGCAAUAAUACAUUGCUUGCUAGUUUUAACUUAAAAGUAUGAGUGAGAGUUUUGAAUUAUUUCUUAGUAGUUACUAAUUUCGGAACAGCUUUCUUAAACUGUACCUUUAACCUAGUUUCUUAUGUUUCUCUUUAAAUAUGCAAAGCUAGAUAUUACAUUAACACUACUAGUACUAAAUCUUUAAAAUUUGACAUGCCUAGUGGGUUAAGUAAAUCAGAAAAUUAAUUAAAAGGUUAUUUCAAUUUCACACCUGCAAAAAUAUUAAAUUUUUAUUCUUAUUCCUUAGUAUUUUCAAUUUUUGAAGAAAGCUGGUUUUAAGAAUGCAGUUUUAUGUGCUAAUUUAAAUUUUUUACUUCCUGGUAAUUGAUAUACUUGUUUAAAUCAAUUUUUGACAGCACAGAUUGAAACUAAAUCCUGUGUGAACCCAGUUCUGACAACAUAAGUUAAAGUUUAUUUUAAAGCAGUUUUUCAGAAAUCUUAUUCUUUUAUUAAAUAACUUUUAAACAAAUAAAACCUUAUUUUUAUAAUUGUUUAUGGGUAAAGGUUGAAUUCAUUAUUUCAAUCAGUGCAAUAUUCAAUUGUAGCAGUCUGCUGUAUUCUGCUAAUAUUCACUAUAAAUUAAGAUCACAAAGAAAACUUAACUGAUUUAAAAGUUAAUUUGAUCUAUCCAACAAAUUACCCUGCUAAACUUUUAUUCUUUCUCUCAACAUAAUAAAUGGAGAAAUAUUAAGUUGAAAUAUAUGUAUGUUUAUUGGAACAUUGAUGCAAUUUGGUUGUUGAAUUUUCGCGCUCACGCUUCUUUACUGCUUUUUUUNCUUUUUUUUUUUUUUUUAAACUUGCAGACAAUCUCGGUCAAGCUCUGAAGUCCUGUUUAAAAAAAAUUUAAUUUCAAAUUAAGAUGAUUCAAAAAAUUUUUUAUGAAUAAAAAAUUUAUAAUCUGAUCUUUCUGUAAAGAAAGUCUUAAAGUAUAGUCCAGUCUGUUUUUGUGAAAGCUUUUGCACAUAGAUGAGAUAUUUUAAGGUUUCUUACUAUGAUGCAUAUUUUUGACAUUGUCUUCUAUUAUAAUUUUUUUAAUAAAAUUUUGCUGACAUUUUCUUGAUUAUUUUACAAUUAGAACCUAUACUUGUUAUAAUGUGUUUAUAGUAGUAAAUAUUUUCAAUCAAAUUGUAUAAAAUUAGAUUAGAAUGUCCAUGUUUCAAGAGUAGUUAAAAAGAAUACACAUUUUUGUGUUGGGGUGGUAAUUUUUUAAGAUAAUGCCAUUUUGGGGCAAUAUAAUGAGCCACAUUUUUAAAUUGUUUAGGAGAGUGUUUUUGGUAUGCUAUAAGAUAUGUCUGUGCAUUGAGCUGUUGUCUUGGGAAAAAUUCUAAAAAUUCGUAAAUCUGGAAAAAAUACUAAGGAAAACUUCAGUCUAAAUUAGUCAUUUUUGCAAAAAAAUGUGGACUAUCAUGUUGCUCCAAACUCUCUAUAUUUAAAGAUGACUAAGGGAUUAUAUCAAAAUUUGCUAUUAGUUCCCUGCCCAAAGUAUUUCUGGGAGUUAGACGAGGAAAAUGUUUUUGAAUUAAAUAUAUUUUAUUUUUAUUUUUUAAAUAUUUUUUUACAGAUAUUAAAUGUUGGUUCCAUUAAACAAUACAUUAUAUUUUAUGUUAAAUGCAAAGACAAUGCCUUCAUUGUAUCUAAAGGGUAAUUAAAUGAAUCGUGCCAAUUUCGUUUCAUUUUUACUGUUCAAUCAUGCAUAAAUGAAUUAAUCUUGUAUUGUUCAUUUUGUUACAUACCAAUCAGCAAAUGCAUACUUAGAACUUAAUGUUGUACUAGAGAAGUGAUAUAUAUUUUGUAUAAUAUAAUUCAUAGAGAAUAUGCAUUCUAUUGUUAUUUGGUUGUGUUGCUAGUGUAUAUGGCUUAUUUGUUCUACUCAUAAAGCAUGAAAAAUCCUUAUAAAAAAAAAAUCUGUAUCAUUCUGGUGUUGGCUGUCAUUUCACUUGAUGUUAAUUUUCUCUGUGAUGAGAUAAAUAAAGCACUCAAUAUUUUUAAA
rnacentral:misc_RNA from 1 species